ensembl:snRNA U1 U1 spliceosomal RNA
CUUCUUACCUGCUGGGAAGAUAAAUGGAUAAGGAAGGUGGUUUUCCCAGGGUGAGGUUCCAUUGCAGUCAUGUGCUAACCCCUGUAGUUUUCCAAAACGUGGGAAACUCAACUGCAUGAUUUGUGGUAGUUGGAGACUGUGUUUCUGCUCUCCCCUA